UACGAAGGGGACUAGCGUUGUUCGGAAUCACUGGGCGUAAAGCGCACGUAGGCGGAUGUGUCAGUCAGGGGUGAAAUCCCGGAGCUCAACUCCGGAACUGCCUUUGAUACUGGGGAUCUUGAGUCCGGAAGAGGUGAGUGGAACUCCGAGUGUAGAGGUGAAAUUCGUAGAUAUUCGGAAGAACACCAGUGGCGAAGGCGGCUCACUGGUCCGGUACUGACGCUGAGGUGCGAAAGCGUGGGGAGCAAACAGG
rnacentral:rRNA from 1 species